AAGAAUUUUACACGAGUUAAAAACUUUCCUCAUAUCACACCCCCAAGCAAUCAUAAUAAAACUCCCCUCUACAGCGGCAUCCCCAAACCCUAAAUUCCCUUGUGCCUCAAUUUAGUAUUUCAAUAGCGAACGCCUUAUCAUCUGUUAUCAUGGGGUAUCGGAAAAUAUCUCAGCUUUGCGCCGCCUCCGCUGACCUCACCUCGGGUCAGGACCAUGCCUUGACGAUUGCUU
rnacentral:lncRNA from 1 species